AGGAGGACAAGUUGUGGGAU
rnacentral:miRNA from 1 species